rnacentral:rRNA from 1 species
UGGGGAAUAUUGGACAAUGGGCGAAAGCCUGAUCCAGCCAUGCCGCGUGAGUGACGAAGGCCUUAGGGUUGUAAAACUCUUUCGUCGGGGACGAUAAUGACGGUACCCGAAGAAGAAGCUCCGGCUAACUUCGUGCCAGCAGCCGCGGUAAUACGAAGGGAGCUAGCGUUGUUCGGAAUCACUGGGCGUAAAGCGCACGUAGGCGGAUAGUUAAGUCAGGGGUGAAAUCCUGGGGCUCAACCCCAGAACUGCCUUUGAUACUGGCUGUCUCGAGGUCGAGAGAGGUUGGUGGAAUUCCUAGUGUAGAGGUGAAAUUCGUAGAUAUUAGGAAGAACACCAGUGGCGAAGGCGGCCAACUGGCUCGAUACUGACGCUGAGGUGCGAAAGCGUGGGGAGCAAACAGGAUUAGAUACCCUUGUAGUCCCUGAGCGGGCUGGCAAGGCGCAU